GUGGCACCCACAUGGGCGGAUUCCCCGCCUCCCCUGCCAGCCGACCAGGAGUGGGCCUUCCUGACGUGGCUGGGGCCUUCCACGUGGGCGCAGUUCCAAGCAGCCUCUUCGGGACCCUCAGCCAGUCACCUGUUCUUCCCCCGCCCAGUCCAGCUCCAGCCUAUGGAGCCUCCACCAACCCCUUCGCCACCGCUGCUGUUCCACCACCCACGUUGCCUUCCACUAACCCUUUCCAGACCAACGGCUUGGCUGCAGGCACCUUCUUGGUGGGAUCUCCCGGCAACUACUCCACCUCCCCAUUUUCUGGAGUCUUCGCUUCCCCACUGCAACAGCAGCAGCUGCCCCCGCCUACGCCGCCACCCCCACAGCCCCUCUUCCCUCCGCAAGCAGUUCUGGGUCAACAGAAUGGCGGUAAGAGGGUUUGGCGUUUGGGUCCCCCCCCCAUCAGAGCCUCGUGCACGUUGCUGCUCCCCACAAGUUCGGAUGCCCCUGGUCAUCGGAGAGCCCAGUGAGGUUCUGUUCCCUGGAGGGGAACCGCCAGGAGAGCCGGUGCGGAUAAAAGGAGGGCUUUGCCACUGCCUGCCGUUCGGCGGUAGAAUUCCCUGCCAGCAGAUGGCGCUGUGGCCACUCGCAUGGAGGAAUUUAAAAGGGGAUUUGGAGAGAUUUGUGGGGCGGUUAUCAGUGGCUACCGGUUGCCUGCCAGGACGGCUGUAUUUUGCUUUCUGUUUGAGAGGGGCUGCUUUGAUAUCGAAGGUGCUGGGGAAUAUUGGGCAGAGGGUGCCACCUUUCUUGCCUCCUGCCUCUGUCCCCCCCCCUUUGGCUUGCUUCCCCACCACCCAAGGAAUCGAACAACGUGACCUCAGAGGAGCCCCUGGUGGCUCUUCUGUUCCUCUUUCACUUCUCAGCAGGCCUGCCGUAGAGGGGGGCGGGGAGGGGGGCGUGGGCCACGCUAAAGCGUCUCUUCUACCACAAUCUGCUGUGAGAGCCGAGGCUUCCUGGCCCGGUUCCAGCCACGAAAUGGGAUUCUGGGUAGCAAAAAAAUCCCCCCCCCCGCCGGGCCUUGCAAACGCCAUCCCCAUCCUCAGUUUCCAGCAUCCGGAGUGCAAGGCAUGCUCAUCAGGGAAGAAAUCUCUCUCUUGGUCCUAG
rnacentral:lncRNA from 1 species